rnacentral:rRNA from 1 species
AUUGAACGCUGGCGGCAGGCCUAACACAUGCAAGUCGGACGGUAGCACAGAGGAGCUUGCUCCUUGGGUGACGAGUGGCGGACGGGUGAGUAAUGUCUGGGGAUCUGCCCGAUAGAGGGGGAUAACCACUGGAAACGGUGGCUAAUACCGCAUAACGUCGCAAGACCAAAGAGGGGGACCUUCGGGCCUCCCACUAUCGGAUGAACCCAGAUGGGAUUAGCUAGUAGGCGGGGUAAUGGCCCACCUAGGCGACGAUCCCUAGCUGGUCGGAGAGGAUGACCAGCCACACUGGAACUGAGACACGGUCCAGACUCCUACGGGAGGCAGCAGUGGGGAAUAUUGCACAAUGGGCGCAAGCCUGAUGCAGCCAUGCCGCGUGUAUGAAGAAGGCCUUCGGGUUGUAAAGUACUUUCAGCGGGGAGGAAGGCGGUGAGGUUAAUAACCUUGCCGAUUGACGUUACCCGCAGAAGAAGCACCGGCUAACUCCGUGCCAGCCGCCGCCGUAA